rnacentral:rRNA from 1 species
GAUGAACGCUAGCGGGAGGCUUAACACAUGCAAGUCGAGGGGUAAGAGGGUAGCAAUACGCUCUGAGACCGGCGCACGGGUGAGUAACGCGUAUGCAACCUGCCCUUUACAGGGGGAUAGCCCGGAGAAAUCCGGAUUAAUACCCCAUAGUUCUGCGACCCCGCAUGGGGAUGCAGGUAAAGCCUUCGGGCGGUAAAGGAUGGGCAUGCGUGACAUUAGCUUGUUGGCGGGGUAACGGCCCACCAAGGCUGCGAUGUCUAGGGGUUCUGAGAGGAAGGUCCCCCACACUGGUACUGAGACACGGACCAGACUCCUACGGGAGGCAGCAGUGAGGAAUAUUGGUCAAUGGGCGAGAGCCUGAACCAGCCAUCCCGCGUGCAGGAAGAAGGCCCUAUGGGUUGUAAACUGCUUUUGUGCAGGAAGAACAGUAUCCUCGUGAGGGUAUUUGACGGUACUGCGUGAAUAAGCACCGGCUAACUCCGUGCCAGCCGCCGCCGUAAGAC